rnacentral:rRNA from 1 species
UACCAGCACCCCGAGUGGUCGGGACGUUUAUUGGGCCUAAAGCAUCCGUAGCCGGUUCUACAAGUCUUCCGUUAAAUCCACCUGCUUAACAGAUGGGCUGCGGAAGAUACUAUAGAGCUAGGAGGCGGGAGAGGCAAGCGGUACUCGAUGGGUAGGGGUAAAAUCCGUUGAUCCAUUGAAGACCACCAGUGGCGAAGGCGGCUUGCCAGAACGCGCUCGACGGUGAGGGAUGAAAG